rnacentral:sRNA from 1 species
AAUGUCGGGCAGCCCCGUGCCCUUUACACACGCCCCUUCCCCUCCACAGGCCUCCUCUUUCAGCAGCAUAACCGACUCCACCAUGUCCCUUAACAUCGUCACUGUCACGCUCAACAUGGGUGAGGCCUUGGGGCGAGGGUUGGGGGCAGGGGCAGGGGCUUGGCCGCGGCUCAUGGCUUUUCUUGCAGAGAGACAUCACUUUCUGGGCAUCAGCAUCGUGGGGCAGAGCAACGACCGUGGAGACGGCGGCAUCUACAUUGGCUCCAUCAUGAAGGGCGGGGCUGUGGCCGCUGACGGCCGCAUCGAGCCCGGCGACAUGUUGCUGCAGGUGAAUGACGUGAACUUUGAAAACAUGAGCAAUGACGAUGCCGUGCGGGUGCUGCGGGAGAUCGUUUCCCAGACGGGGUGAGGGCUGGGGGCGCUGGAGCGGGAGGGGCCAGGCAGGGAGGUGGGACCAUGGGGGCCUUGCUGUGUGACCACCGUUCCUGCAGGCCCAUCAGCCUCACUGUGGCUAAGUGCUGGGACCCAACGCCCCGAAGCUACUUCACCGUCCCACGGGGUGAGUGGCCCUCGGGGCACACGGGGCGGGAUGGGGAGGGGGCGCCUACCUAGCCUGAAGGCCUCUCUCCUCUGUGCCCUGCACCCUGUC